ensembl:misc_RNA Metazoa_SRP Metazoan signal recognition particle RNA
GCUGGGCAUGGUGGCGCAUGCCUGUAGUCCCAGCUACUUGGGAGGCUGAGGUGGGAGGACCACUUGAGCCUGGGAGGUCUAGGCUGCAGUGAGCCAUCAUCACGCCACUGCACUCCAGCCUAUGUGAACAGAGUAAGAUCCUGUCUCAA